GACGAACGCUGGCGGCGUGCUUAACACAUGCAAGUCGAACGAUGAACCGGGUGCUUGCACUUGGGGAUUAGUGGCGAACGGGUGAGUAACACGUGAGUAACCUGCCCUGGACUCUGGGAUAACCCCGAGAAAUCGGAGCUAAUACCGGAUAGGACCUUUCCUCGCAUGAGGUUUGGUGGAAAGUUUUUCGGUCUGGGAUGGACUCGCGGCCUAUCAGCUUGUUGGUGAGGUAAUGGCUCACCAAGGCGUCGACGGGUAGCCGGCCUGAGAGGGUGACCGGCCACACUGGGACUGAGACACGGCCCAGACUCCUACGGGAGGCAGCAGUGGGGAAUAUUGCACAAUGGGCGCAAGCCUGAUGCAGCAACGCCGCGUGCGGGAUGACGGCCUUCGGGUUGUAAACCGCUUUUAGUAGGGAAGAAGGGCUUCGGCUUGACGGUACCUGCAGAAAAAGGACCGGCUAACUACGUGCCAGCCGCCGCGGUAACAC
rnacentral:rRNA from 1 species